UUUGCAGUUUGGUUAACUGAGUGACCGUUAGGUAGCAACAGCGCCCUCUUGAGGUUUCGGGCGUUCUGGGCGCCAGCCGCGAGCCGACCAAACACGUCUGUAUUUUUUGUACAAGUUUCCCUCCUGUUUUUUAUCUUUGCAAGGUUGUUAUUCACUAUAUGCGACUUGUCCUCUGAAAAGUUGGCAGUACAGUGUGUAUUUGGAGACACAACAGCUCUGUAAGUCUUUGCAUAUUCCUUUCAGAAGUGUAAUGUUAUUGUCAUUGAGGAUGAAGCGAUUUUUGUGUACUUCAUGUGUCACACUUACAUACAUGUAGAUUUUAUCCAUUCUGGUCUGUUACUCUGUCAUCUACCUGCUAGCUUGUCGUCAUAUUUUGUUUGUAAUGGGAAAUUAUUUCAUAUUAUCCAUGUCAAUCAUUAUAUUAUUUUGUCCUUUGCGCCUUUUUUUAUUGUAAUUUUCCUCAUUUGAUUAUGUUUACAGUUUACCAUGUGUAUGUCAAGGAAUAAAUUUCAAGUCGAACCUA